GAACUAAUGCACUGUGAGUCUUAUAAAUUGCUUACAUACCUCACCGAUUUCCCACUGUCUGGAAAACGCUCGGUUUAGUUCCUGUCUCCGCCUCCCAAAAUGUCUAGUGUAUUCGGAUUGGUCAGAUGACUACUCAACUGUUAUUGGUCAACUGGGUUCGGCGUGUGUUUGAAAGGUUACGCCCCUGACUACGCGUGGGUUUUCCGGUUCUGACUGAGAGUCACAGGCAACGUAAACAAGCGCUAUAUUUCUCUAUAAACGAUGGUGUCUGUACUGCCUUACCACUUCAAGCUCGAUCCAGAGAGUUCAGACGGCGUUACGAUAUAAACGAUCUCCGUCAAUUAACGCGAUUGGAUUUAACUUUUUUAGGUGUCCUUAGCUCUGCCAGAAUGCUAAACGAAGACGAAAAUGUGUUGCAAAGACAUCCAAAAGGUUUUAAGGAGAAUGCAACAGGUUCCAGGGCCUCUUACCUGCGUGAUUCAUCAUCCAGAUACGCUUGGAGCUUCCUGAUCAGAUCGGUCACAAUUUUGGCUUUCGAUGACCCCUGCACUGAAGAUGGCAUGCAAUCACGUCCUCCUUUGAAGGUCUCUCAAACUGUGAUGCCAGGUCCAUUGGAAUCGGGGUU